AGAGUUUGAUCCUGGCUCAGAACGAACGCUGGCGGCAUGCCUAACACAUGCAAGUCGAACGCUUGUCGGGUUUCGGCCCGGCAGGAGUGGCGCACGGGUGAGUAGCGCGUGGGAACCUGCCCUGUUGUGGGGGAUAACCGCGGGAAACUGCGGCUAAUACCGCAUACGCCGGGAAACCGGGAAAGAUUUAUCGCGACAGG
rnacentral:rRNA from 1 species